GGGACAGGGACAGGGGAAGGUGGUGGUGGCUUGUCCAGGGUCCCCACCAGGCCUCUUCCCUCAGCACCAUGCCCCUGGGUCUGCAGCCUAAAAAGCAUAGUUAGUGUUUAUAUUAAGGAAUCGGUUUAAGCAACACCAACAGACACUAUUCUGCCCCACAAUCACAGACUCACUGAGGCUGGAAAACACCUCUGAGACCAUCAUGUCCAAUAUUUGACCAGCACCACUUGUCGACCAGCCCAGAGCACUGAGGGCCACGUCCAGUGUUCCUUGAUGUGAUGGGGAAGGAAGCACCUAAGAUGGUUUUAUAGCCUUGAUCUCCAAGGAUUUCCCAACAUGACUCAGCUCGAUCUUCAAAGAGGGGGGAAGGUUUGGCAGCAGUUUGCAGUCAGAGGAACAGACCUGUUGCAGCGAAGAACCAGCAGAGACCAGGAUUCCUGAACGUCAGUCCCUGUGGUGCUCACGUUGGACAAGUGCAGUAUUGAGGAAACCAGUGAGGCAGCAGCAGCAGACACGAGUGAAUGGAAGAUGCAUCUUCCUGGAGAGCAUGUGCUGUGUUAGUACAGGAGGAGGAGCAGCUGUCCCCCUGCAGUCUGCCUGAAAUUUAAUCCUGUAGGGUUUCUGAAAAAGAGAAGUUUGAAGCUUUUCUUGAACAGUAACAUCCAGGGAAAGCAGUGAAUGUGGGCACACUGUGGUUGCUGAAGUCCAGGAGGAAGCUGAGUGAGACUGGGGUUGUUUGGUUGCAAAGAGCACAGUGAAAUAAUUCACACAACACAUCUUGGAGAGAAGAAGUAUUUUCUUUUGCCAGAGGAAAAAAACAGGUGGGAGAAAGAGGUAAUUAAAUGUUUUCCUAAUAGUUCUGUCUUGUGGUUGGUUGACUUGAGUGCAUAUGGAUGCUCAAGUUCCAAAUGAAACUUUUCCUGCUUAUUUUUUUGGUCAUGUAGACAGAUUUUCUCUUUCUGUGUCUUUGCUUUUGCUUUUUUUUUUCUUUUCUUAAUUGGGGCUCUUUAACCUCAAGUGAAGCAUCUCUUUUCAUGAGGCUUUCAAGAAUAUAUUGAUCAUAUCCUUAUCUCUGAAACUAGUCCCAGAUCCCAGCUCUGGUUGAGUUGCCCUCACUAUAUCCCCACUCAUGUCAGGAUAGGACCAAUUACAUACCUUUUACUGCCACUUGCACAAAUUGCAGAGCUUUGGAGGAGGCCACUGCACACUCCACCAAGUCCCUUGGCGUGGAUGAUCCGAGGGACAGGACUGUGACCAGACUGAGGAAGGAGAAGGCCAGGGAAGCAGAAAUUGCACACACCUUUGAGGAGGGACUCGGUGGCUCAGGACAGGGAGCCUUGGGCUCAUUCAAAAG